UGAUUGAAAGUGCGUGUUGUGGAUUUUCGAGUGUUUAACAGACAUUUAGUAGUGCGCGAUUUUUUAAAUUUCGAGUGAUUAAAGUGCCAAUGGAAGGGAUCUCCAGGGAACCUGGACGCUAUAAUCGUGCUACAAGGAUCAGGAUUAAAGGUAGGUCCGUUCUAAGAAGAAGAGGGAACGAAGAGGAGGCCAGGGUGAGUGAAUUUUAAUUUUUUCUAAGUGUGGUGAAGUGUGUGAAGUGAAAAUGUGAGUACAACAUUUUAGAACACAGUAAGUAUUUAUAAGUACAUGUUAAAAUAUGAGUGAAAAUUAAUUAAUUAAUUGUAGAUGAAACGCAAUUCUUUCAAAUCUUUUGAAGAAAAAUUCCCAAAUAUUUGACGAAGCAUCUCUUAAAUAUUGAAGAAAAACAUUCACAGCAAGCUCGAGACUAAGUAUAAUAUGACUCGAGUGACUGAAAGUGCGUGUUGUGGAUUUUUGAGUGUUUAACAGACAUUUAGUAGUGCGCGAUUUUUUAAAUUUCGAGUGAUUAAAGUGCCAAUGGAAGGGAUCUCCAGGGAACCUGGACGCUAUAAUCGUGCUACAUGGAUCAGG